rnacentral:rRNA from 1 species
AAUCAACGCUGGCGGCGUGCCUCAGACAUGCAAGUCGAACGAGAAGUCCCCUUCGGGGGAUGGACAGUGGCGCACGGGUGAGUAACACGUGGGUAAUUUACCUUCGGGUGGGGAACGAACAGCCGGAACGGCUGCUAAUACCGCAUAAUGCAGCGGCUCGACAUCGAGACAGUUGUUAAAGCGGGGGAGUCCAAAAGAACCUCGCGCCUGAAGAGAAGCCCGCGGCAGAUUAGCUAGUUGGUAGGGUAAUGGCCUACCAAGGCGACGAUCUGUAACCGGCCUGAGAGGGCGGUCGGUCACACUGACACUGACAUACGGGUCAGACUCCUACGGGAGGCAGCAGUCGGGAAUUUUGGGCAAUGGGCGCAAGCCUGACCCAGCAACGCCGCGUGAAGGAUG